rnacentral:misc_RNA from 1 species
GAUGAAGAACGUAGCGAAAUGCGAUAAGUAAUGUGAAUUGCAGAAUUCAGUGAAUCAUCGAAUCUUUGAACGCACAUUGCGCCCCCCAGUAUUCUGGCGGGCAUGCCUGUUCGAGCGUCAUUUCAACCAUCAAGCCCUGCUUGUGUUGGGGUCCUACGGCUGCCCGCAGGCCCUGAAAACCAGUGGCGGGCUCGCUAGUCACACCGAGCGCAGUAGCACAUCUCGCUCAGGGCGUGCGGCGGGCUCCAGCCGUUAAAGCACCCACCUUUCGCAAGGUUGACCUCGGAUCAGGUAGGAAUACCCGCUGAACUUAAGCAUAUCAAUAAGCGGAGGA